GUUGAACGCUGGCGGCAUGCCUAACACAUGCAAGUCGAGCGGAUGAAGUAAGCUGGCUCCUGGAGUCAGCGGCGGACGGGUGAGUAAUGCGUCGGAAUCUUCCUGGGAGUGGGGGAUAACGUCCGGAAACGGGCGCUAAUACCGCAUACGUCCUGAGGGAGAAAGUGGGGGAUCUUCGGACCUCACGCUAUCAGAUGAGCCUAGGUCGGAUUAGCUAGUUGGUGGGGUAAAGGCCUACGAAGGCGACGAUCCGUAACUGGUAUGAGAGGAUGAUCAGUCACACUGGAACUGAGACACGGUCCAGACUCCUACGGGAGGCCGCAGUCGGGAAUAUUGGACAAUGGGCGAAAGCCUGAUACAGCCAUGCCGCGUGUGUGAAGAAGGUCUUCGGAUUGUAAAGCAAUUUAAGUUGGGAGGAAGGGCAGUAAGUUAAUACCUUGCUGUUUUGACGUUACCAAAAGAAUAAGCACCGGCUAACUUCGUG
rnacentral:rRNA from 1 species